CUCAGUAAUCUUGGAAAUUUUCGGGUCUGGACAUGGUGAGUGUCGUUUUAAGGCCAAGAAUUCAUCAUGGAUACAGGAUCUGGAGUGGAACUGUUUGGGCAAGUCUGAGUAGCCUAGCUCCUCUCCUGCAGAUACCAGGCAUUUGUUGAACAAAAGUAUUAAGACUUCUUCAUGGAAUUCAAAACUGGCCUACAAAGCCUUAUUUUUGCAUGUGAUACCUGGAGCAAGAGCCAGAGGAACC
rnacentral:lncRNA from 1 species